UACGUAGGGUGCAAGCGUUGUCCGGAAUUAUUGGGCGUAAAGAGCUCGUAGGCGGUCUGUCACGUCGGCUGUGAAACCCGAGGCUCAACCUCGGGCCUGCAGUCGAUACGGGCAGACUAGAGUUCGGUAGGGGAGACUGGAAUUCCUGGUGUAGCGGUGAAAUGCGCAGAUAAUCAGGAGGAACACCGGUGGCGAAGGCGGGUCUCUGGGCCACUGACUGACGCUGAGAAGCGAAAGCAUGGGGAGCGAACAG
rnacentral:rRNA from 1 species